AUAUCCUGAGAGGUGAUGCGUAGCCGUAGCGGCGAAAUCCAUGAUCCUAUGCUGCCGAGAAAAGCCUCUAGCGAGCUGGUACAUGGCCCGUACCCCAAACCGACACAGGUGGUCAGGUAGAGAAUACUAAGGCGAUCGAGAGAACUGUGGUUAAGGAACUCGGCAAAAUGCCCCCGUAACUUCGGGAGAAGGGGGACCAGUCCUGGUGACGACAUUUACUGUCUGAGCUGGGGUUGGUCGCAGAGACCAGAGAGAAGCGACUGUUUACUAAAAACACAGGUCCGUGCGAAGUCGUAAGACGAUGUAUACGGACUGACGCCUGCCCGGUGCUGGAAGGUUAAGAGGACCGGUCAGCCACUUCGGUGGCGAAGCUGAGAAUUUAAGCCCCAGUAAACGGCGGUGGUAACUAUAACCAUCCUAAGGUAGCGAAAUUCCUUGUCGGGUAAGUUCCGACCUGCACGAAUGGCGUAACGACUUCUCUGCUGUCUCAACCACAGACUCGGCGAAAUUGCAGUACGAGUAAAGAUGCUCGUUACGCGCGGCAGGACGAAAAGACCCCGGGACCUUCACUAUAGCUUGGUAUUGGUGUUCAGUUCGGUUUGUGUAGGAUAGGUGGGAGACUGUGAAACUCGCACGCCAGUGUGGGUGGAGUCAUUGUUGAAAUACCACUCUGACCGUAUUGGACAUCUAACCUCGGACCAUGAUCUGGUUCAGGGACAGUGCCUGGUGGGUAGUUUAACUGGGGCGGUUGCCUCCUAAAAAGUAACGGAGGCGCCCAAAGGUUCCCUCAGCCUGGUUGGCAAUCAGGUGUUGAGUGUAAGUGCACAAGGGAGCUUGACUGUGAGACGUACAUGUCGAGCAGGGACGAAAGUCGGGACUAGUGAUCCGGCACCGGCAAGUGGAAGCGGUGUCGCUCAACGGAUAAAAGGUACCCCGGGGAUAACAGGCUGAUCUUCCCCAAGAGUCCAUAUCGACGGGAUGGUUUGGCACCUCGAUGUCGGCUCGUCGCAUCCUGGGGCUGGAGUAGGUCCCAAGGGUUGGGCUGUUCGCCCAUUAAAGCGGCACGCGAGCUGGGUUUAGAACGUCGUGAGACAGUUCGGUCUCUAUCCGCCGCGCGCGUAAGAAACUUGAGGAAACCUGUCCCUAGUACGAGAGGACCGGGACGGACGAACCUCUGGUGUGCCAGUUGUUCCACCAGGAGCACCGCUGGUUAGCUACGUUCGGAAGGGAUAACCGCUGAAAGCAUCUAAGCGGGAAGCCUGUUCCAAGAUGAGGUUUCUCACCACCUAGCGUGGUUAAGGCCCCCCACAGACCAUGGGGUUGAUAGGCCAGAACUGUAAGCACAGCAAUGUGUUCAGGUGACUGGUACUAAUCGGCCGAGGACUUAC
rnacentral:rRNA from 1 species